rnacentral:rRNA from 1 species
AACGAACGCUGGCGGCAUGCCUAACACAUGCAAGUCGAACGAGACCUUCGGGUCUAGUGGCGCACGGGUGCGUAACGCGUGGGAACCUGCCCUUAGGUUCGGAAUAACUCCCCGAAAGGGGUGCUAAUACCGGUUAAUGUCUUCGGACCAAAGAUUUAUCGCCUUGGGAUGGGCCCGCGUUGGAUUAGCCGGUUGGUAGGGUAAAAGCCUACCAAGGCGACGAUCCAUAGCUGGUCUGAGAGGAUGAUCAGCCACACUGGGACUGAGACACGGCCCAGACUCCUACGGAAGGCAGCAGUGGGGAAUAUUGGACGAGGGGCGAAAGCCUGAUCCAGCAAUGCCGCGUGAGUGAUGAAGGCCUUAGGGUUGUAAAGCUCUUUUACCCGGGAUGAUAAUGACAGUACCGGGAGAAUAAGCUCCGGCUAACUCCGUG